GGAGAGGUGCCGGAGCGGUCGAACGGGACGGUCUCGAAAACCGUUGUACCCGCAAGGGUACCGUGGGUUCGAAUCCCACCCUCUCCG
rnacentral:tRNA from 1 species